UCGUUCGGUAGCAGAAAUGAGAGGAAUAAAAGAGGGUCGAAAAUUGGGAGAGUCCGAUAGUUAUCAAGGCAGUAGUGUUGUAGGUCGCGACUGCGCAUUUUCAGUCCGGGAAAAUGUCGAUCUUGCUGCUGGUACUGAAAACCAAAAUGAAGCAUGGGUCCUGGCGUCGUGAGGAUGACGGAUGUAAAAAUGUAUUAUGACAUCUGUGAAUUUGCACCAUCAACUACAUCUAAAAGGGUACUACGAGUAAUCCCAGCGGGAGAGAGAGAGAGCAUCUAAAAGUUUGACGUACAAACUGCUGGAACAAAAGGGAAAAUGAGAGGACACAAAGGAAAAAUCUAGGAUUCAUACAUAAUGAGUUGCGCACGUGCACCAAGUAUUCCUAGUACGUACAAUCCACGAACGGGCGUGACUGUAAUUUCAAGUGUGAACUCGAAAAUUAAACAUAGUAACUCUCUCAUAUAUGGAGCGGAUAUAUACUACGACAAAAUUCCAGUUUUCUUCGUCGAUAAAUGUAGAAAAAUAUCCAAGUCUGUAGCAUUAAACUAAUUACUCACAAAAAAAUAUUGAUAUGUGAUGAAAUUUUACUACUGUAAUACUCAGUAACGUUUUUACCACCAUUUUCUCCCAAAUGACCCAAUUGGUCCAAUCGAAUGAUUUUAUUGAUAGAGAAAAAUAUCUAUUGAAGUAAAAUCAUGAGACUCCUCUAAGCCCUAUUGUUGGUUUUUCGAGAUUAAAAAAAAAAUUCCUUCUUAUUACAUAAUUAUUCCGUAUUUUUCAUUUUUCAAACAUCAGCUGUUUGGAGUUACAAAAAAUUAAGAACCACAUUUGUAUUUGCUAUUAUCAACAUUGAGUUGAAUAACAGUCAAUUGAAAAAUAGUCUAAGCAGACGUAAUUCAGGUCUUCAUGAAGAGGGUGAAACAAACUUUGACUUUUUAAAACAGUUUCUUGAAAUAUUGGUAAGCUGAGGGUUCUGGUCCUAAUGAAAAAAAGCGAUGAAUUACAUCAACUUUUUUGAACAUUUUGACACGCCACUGUCAUCAAAUAUUUUCAAGGAGAAUUCUAAAAGAUGAUGAGAAAGAUUUGUUGGAAGAUGAAUUACUCAGCAACUCAUUGGCUGAAAUCUUUGUCGCAUUUGCAAGCCCUCCUUGCUAACGAGAGUACUUAAUUUUCUCGUUCUUUCAGGAAAAGGGGUGAGCGCCUGUCGCUGACGAGAGAUUAUAAAAAUGUUUACGUGAAUGUAAAUACCACAUUAUUUAACUGGAAUGGGUUUUUACAUGUGUUUAGCAUAGCACAGUAACUACUUGUGCAUUUACGCUUCUAAUGGAGUUUAACAAAAUGGAAAUUCAACGAGCAUAAUUUAUAUAGUCGUUUGCUCAAUGCAGAGGUUACCACUAUAUCCUAUACAACCAUUUCUGCAUGCGUGGGCGCAUGUGUGUGUAUAGCUGUUGUGAAGAGACCCGUCUUCCUCUGACUCUCUAAGUUCUUCUUCCUCCUGACCCCUUUGUUGUAAGUUGCUGGGGUCUUGUGCCUUAAUGCACAAAUGAUUCUGCUAUAGGAGUACGCUCAUUAUGAAUCGCUAUGGAACUUCCAUACCAACUUUUCGCUCGUAAAAGAUUCCACUACUAUUCCUCGCUCUUUUUCACGAGAGCCCGUGCGGCCUACGAUCGAUACU